rnacentral:rRNA from 1 species
UGGGGAAUAUUGCGCAAUGGGCGAAAGCCUGACGCAGCGACGCCGCGUGAGGGAUGAAGGUUUUCGGAUCGUAAACCUCUGACAGAAGGGAAGAAACCGCACUGUGCUAAUCAGCAGUGCCUUGACGGUACCUUCAAAGGAAGCACCGGCUAACUCCGUGCCAGCAGCCGCGGUAAUACGGAGGGUGCAAGCGUUAAUCGGAAUUACUGGGCGUAAAGCGCACGUAGGCUGCUUUGUAAGUCAGGGGUGAAAUCCCACGGCUCAACCGUGGAACUGCCUUUGAUACUGCUUAGCUUGAAUCCGGGAGAGGGUGGCGGAAUUCCAGGUGUAGGAGUGAAAUCCGUAGAUAUCUGGAGGAACAUCAGUGGCGAAGGCGGCCACCUGGACCGGUAUUGACGCUGAGGUGCGAAAGCGUGGGGAGCAAACAGG